ensembl:misc_RNA Metazoa_SRP Metazoan signal recognition particle RNA
GCUGGGCAUGGUGGUGCGUGCCUGUAAUCCCAGCUACUUGGGAGGCUGAGGCAGGAGAAUCACUUGAACCCAGGAGGCUGAGGUUGCAGUGAGCCGAGAUCAUGCCACUGCACUCCAGCCCGGGUGAUAGAGUGAGACUCUGUCUAAA